rnacentral:piRNA from 1 species
CUCAAAGUUACCUGGGGCAUGAUGGGA